AUUCACGCUGGCGGCAGGCCUAACACAUGCAAGUCGAGCGGAUGAAGGGAGCUUGCUCCUGGAUUCAGCGGCGGACGGGUGAGUAAUGCCUAGGAAUCUGCCUGGUAGUGGGGGAUAACGUCCGGAAACGGGCGCUAAUACCGCAUACGUCCUGAGGGAGAAAGUGGGGGAUCUUCGGACCUCACGCUAUCAGAUGAGCCUAGGUCGGAUUAGCUAGUUGGUGGGGUAAAGGCCUACCAAGGCGACGAUCCGUAACUGGUCUGAGAGGAUGAUCAGUCACACUGGAACUGAGACACGGUCCAGACUCCUACGGGAGGCAGCAGUGGGGAAUAUUGGACAAUGGGCGAAAGCCUGAUCCAGCCAUGCCGCGUGUGUGAAGAAGGUCUUCGGAUUGUAAAGCACUUUAAGUUGGGAGGAAGGGCAGUAAGUUAAUACCUUGCUGUUUUGACGUUACCAACAGAAUAAGCACCGGCUAACUUCGUG
rnacentral:rRNA from 1 species